UCUUCCACAAUGGGCGAAAGCCUGAUGGAGCAACGCCGCGUGGGUGAAGAAGGUCUUCGGAUCGUAAAACCCUGUUGUUAGAGAAGAAAGUGCGUGAGAGUAACUGUUCACGUUUCGACGGUAUCUAACCAGAAAGCCACGGCUAACUACGUGCCAGCAGCCGCGGUAAUACGUAGGUGGCAAGCGUUAUCCGGAUUUAUUGGGCGUAAAGGGAACGCAGGCGGUCUUUUAAGUCUGAUGUGAAAGCCUUCGGCUUAACCGGAGUAGUGCAUUGGAAACUGGGAGACUUGAGUGCAGAAGAGGAGAGUGGAACUCCAUGUGUAGCGGUGAAAUGCGUAGAUAUAUGGAAGAACACCAGUGGCGAAAGCGGCUCUCUGGUCUGUAACUGACGCUGAGGUUCGAAAGCGUGGGUAGC
rnacentral:rRNA from 1 species